AACGAACGCUGGCGGCGUGCCUAACACAUGCAAGUCGUGCGAGAAAGUUCCUUCGGGAGCGAGUAAAGCGGCGCACGGGUGAGUAACACGUAGGUAACCUGCCCCCCAGUCUGGAACAACUAGAGGAAACUCUAGCUAAUGCCGGAUGAGACCACGAUCCCUUCGGGGGUUGCGGCCAAAGAUGGCCUCUACUUGUAAGCUAUCGCUGAGGGAUGGGCCUGCGGGCCAUUAGCUUGUUGGUGAGGUAACGGCUCACCAAGGCUGUGAUGGCUAGCUGGUCUGAGAGGAUGACCAGCCACACUGGGACUGAGACACGGCCCAGACUCCUACGGGAGGCAGCAGUGGGGAAUAUUGCGCAAUGGGCGAAAGCCUGACGCAGCGACGCCGCGUGGGUGAUGAAGGCCUGGUCGUAAGCCGUACGUCGCAGGGAAGGAAGUAAAGACGAUACGGUA
rnacentral:rRNA from 1 species